CUGAGCUGUCCCGUGCUUGGAACAUCUGCUGGUUCUUCCUCCACUGUUUAUUUUUCUUCAGUGCUUUUCUUCACCUUGAUACUCCAGUACUGUGUUGCUACACUUCAGUGACAUUAGAGAGCUUAUAUUUACAGACAGGAGUCAUCCUAUGGCAUCCAGAAUUAAUAGCUUCAAAGGAAAUACUCCUGCUUUCGAAA